GAAAAAGGGUGGGUGGGGAUCGAAAUUGAAACACGAUAUCAAAGAAACUGUAUGCAAAUCUCAACUGAUUAGAAAAUGUUUUAAAACAUUUUUAGCGUGAAAUUGUACUUUUUUAAUCUGGUUAUGUUUUUGUGUUGUUACACACAUGUACAUAAGCUCAUCAGUAUUCAUAGCUCAUUGAUUUGUGUACCUGGAAUCGUUAAACAAAAUUGGAUGUAAUGUUCUUAAUGGCACUAAAAGAAUUGGAUGUAAUGUUCUUGAUGGCGCUAAAAGAAUUGGAUGUAAUGUUCUUGAUGGCACUAACAGAAUAGAGAUAAAGAAGAAACCAAAAAAGUGAAAUACAAAAACAAAGACAAUGGGACGAAAACAAAAUUUUAAAAUUAAAAGCCUAAUUUCCAUCCAAACCCCCAUGAAUGGAUAAUUUUCUUUGAUUAAAGAGGAGAAAAAGGAAGAAAAUGGAGGUCUGUUUUGUUUAGGGCGAGUUAAAUUAAUACAAUUUAAAUUUUACAUGGAUUACUAACUA
rnacentral:lncRNA from 1 species